rnacentral:tRNA from 1 species
GCCUGACUGGCUUAGUCGGUAGAGCGUGGGACUCUUGAUCUCGGGUCGUGAGUUCGAACCCCACGUUGAGUG